rnacentral:rRNA from 1 species
AUUGAACGCUGGCGGCAUGCCUUACACAUGCAAGUCGAACGGUAACGGGCCUUCGGGUGCCGACGAGUGGCGAACGGGUGAGUAAUACAUCGGAACGUGCCCGAUCGUGGGGGAUAACGAGGCGAAAGCUUUGCUAAUACCGCAUACGAUCUACGGAUGAAAGCAGGGGACCGCAAGGCCUUGCGCGGACGGAGCGGCCGAUGGCAGAUUAGGUAGUUGGUGGGAUAAAAGCUUACCAAGCCGACGAUCUGUAGCUGGUCUGAGAGGAUGAUCAGCCACACUGGAACUGGGACCCGGCCACGCCUCCUACGGGAGGCGGCGGUGGGAAAUUUUGGACAAUGGGCGCAAGCCUGUUCCAGCCAGGCCGCGUGAAGGAUGAAGGCUUUCGGGUUGUAACUGCUUUUGUACGGAACGAAAAGCCUUCUUUUAAUACAGGAGGGUCAUGACGGUACCGUAAGAAUAAGCACCGGCUAACUACGUG